GUCGAGCGAACAGACGAGGAGCUUGCUCCUCUGACGUUAGCGGCGGACGGGUGAGUAACACGUGGGUAACCUACCUAUAAGACUGGGAUAACUCCGGGAAACCGGGGCUAAUACCGGAUAACACAUGAAACCGCAUGGUUUCAUGAUGAAAGACGGUUUUGCUGUCACUUAUAGAUGGACCCGCGGCGUAUUAGCUAGUUGGUAAGGUAACGGCUUACCAAGGCAACGAUACGUAGCCGACCUGAGAGGGUGAUCGGCCACACUGGAACUGAGACACGGUCCAGACUCCUACGGGAGGCAGCAGUAGGGAAUCUUCCGCAAUGGGCGAAAGCCUGACGGAGCAACGCCGCGUGAGUGAUGAAGGUCUUCGGAUCGUAAAACUCUGUUAUUAGGGAAGAACAAGGAUGUAAGUAACUAUGCAUCCCUUGACGGUACCUAAUCAGAAAGCCACGGCUAACUACGUGCCAGCAGCCGCGGUAAUACGUAGGUGGCAAGCGUUAUCCGGAAUUAUUGGGCGUAAAGCGCGCGUAGGCGGUUUUUUAAGUCUGAUGUGAAAGCCCACGGCUCAACCGUGGAGGGUCAUUGGAAACUGGAAAACUUGAGUGCAGAAGAGGAAAGUGGAAUUCCAUGUGUAGCGGUGAAAUGCGCAGAGAUAUGGAGGAACACCAGUGGCGAAGGCGACUUUCUGGUCUGCAACUGACGCUGAUGUGCGAAAGCGUGGGGAUCAAACAGGAUUAGAUACCCUGGUAGUCCACGCCGUAAACGAUGAGUGCUAAGUGUUAGGGGGUUUCCGCCCCUUAGUGCUGCAGCUAACGCAUUAAGCACUCCGCCUGGGGAGUACGGCCGCAAGGCUGAAACUCAAAGGAAGUUGACGGGGACCCGCACAAGCGGUGGAGCAUGUGGUUUAAUUCGAAGCAACGCGAAGAACCUUACCAAAUCUU
rnacentral:rRNA from 1 species